UUGUUACUCCCUCCGUUCCGAAUUACUUGUCGCAGGUAUGGAUGUAUCUAGAUGUAUUUUAGUUCUAGAUACAUCCAUUUCUGUGACGAGUAAUUUGGAACGGAGGGAGUACUAG
rnacentral:pre_miRNA from 1 species